GAUGAACGCUAGCGGCAGGCCUAAUACAUGCAAGUCGAACGGGAUUAAGAGGCUUGCUUCUUAUGAGAGUGGCGCACGGGUGCGUAACACGUAUGCAACCUACCUUCAACAGGGGGAUAGCCUUCCGAAAGGGAGAUUAAUACCGCAUAAUAUAAUUGAACGGCAUCGUUUGAUUAUCAAACUUACAAGGGUUGAAGAUGGGCAUGCGUCCGAUUAGUUAGUUGGUGAGGUAACGGCUCACCAAGGCAUCGAUCGGUAGGGGAUCUGAGAGGAUGACCCCCCACACUGGUACUGAGACACGGACCAGACUCCUACGGGAGGCAGCAGUAAGGAAUAUUGGUCAAUGGACGCAAGUCUGAACCAGCCAUGCCGCGUGCAGGAAGACGGUCCUCUGGGUUGUAAACUGCUUUUGUACCAGAGAAAACCUACUCACGUGUGAGUAGCUGAUAGUAUGGUAAGAAUAAGCAUCGGCUAACUUCGUGCCAGCCGCCGCCGUAACAC
rnacentral:rRNA from 1 species